AUGCAUGCUGGGCGCAGCCUGAUCCAGCAAUGCCGCGUGAGUGAAGAAGGCCUUCGGGUUGUAAAGCUCUUUUGUCAGGGAAGAAACGGCCGCGGCUAAUAUCUGCGGCUAAUGACGGUACCUGAAGAAUAAGCACCGGCUAACUACGUGCCAGCAGCCGCGGUAAUACGUAGGGUGCAAGCGUUAAUCGGAAUUACUGGGCGUAAAGCGUGCGCAGGCGGUUUUGUAAGUCUGACGUGAAAGCCCCGGGCUCAACCUGGGAAUUGCGUUGGAGACUGCAAGGCUUGAAUCUGGCAGAGGGGGGUAGAAUUCCACGUGUAGCAGUGAAAUGCGUAGAGAUGUGGAGGAACACCGAUGGCGAAGGCAGCCCCCUGGGUCAAGAUUGACGCUCAUGCACGAAAGCGUGGGGAGCAAACAGGAUUAAAUACCCUGGUAGUCCACGCCCUAAACGAUGUCUACUAGUUGUCGGGUUUUAAUUAACUUGGUAACGCAGCUAACGCGUGAAGUAGACCGCCUGGGGAGUACGGUCGCAAGAUUAAAACUCAAAUGAAAUUUGACGGA
rnacentral:rRNA from 1 species